rnacentral:rRNA from 1 species
AAACCAACAGGGAUUGCUCUAGUAACGGCGAGUGAAGCGGCAACAGCUCAAAUUUGAAAUCUGGCUCUUUUAGAGUCCGAGUUGUAAUUUGCAGAGGGCGCUUUGGCCUCGGCAGCGGUCCAAGUUCUUUGGAACAGGACGUCACAGAGGGUGAGAAUCCCGUACGUGGUCGCUAGCCUUGGCCGUGUAAAGCCCCUUCGACGAGUCGAGUUGUUUGGGAAUGCAGCUCUAAAUGGGAGGUAAAUUUCUUCUAAAGCUAAAUACUGGCCAGAGACCGAUAGCGCACAAGUAGAGUGAUCGAAAGAUGAAAAGCACUUUGGAAAGAGAGUCAAAUAGCACGUGAAAUUGUUGAAAGGGAAGCGCUUGCAGCCAGACUUACCUGUAGUUGCUUAUCUGGACUCUUUGUCCAGUGCACUCUUCUACAGGUAGGCCAGCAUCAGUUUAGGCGGUUGGAUAAAGGUCUCUGUCAUGUACCUCCUUUCGGGGAGGCCUUAUAGGGGAGACGUCAUGCAACCAGCCUAGACUGAGGUCCGCGCAUCUGCUAGGAUGCUGGCGUAAUGGCUGUAAGCGGCCCGUCUUGAAACACGGACCAAGGAGUCUAACAUCUAUGCGAGUGUUUGGGUGUCAAGCCCAGACGCGUAAUGAAAGUGAACGGAGGUGGGAACCCUUUGGGUGCACCAUCGACCGAUCCUGAUGUCUUCGGAUGGAUUUGAGUAAGAGCAUGGCUGUUGGGACCCGAAAGAUGGUGAACUAUGCUUGAAUAGGGUGAAGCCAGAGGAAACUCUGGUGGAGACUCGCAGCGGUUCUGACGUGCAAAUCGAUCGUCAAAUUUGGGCAUAGGGGCGAAAGACUAAUCGAACUAUCUAGUAGCUGGUUCCUGCCGAAGUUUCCCUCAGGAUAGCAGUAACGUUUUCAGUUUUAUGAGGUAAAGCGAAUGAUUAGAGGCCUGGGGGUUGAAACAACCUUCACCUAUUCUCAAACUUUAAAUAUGUAAGAAGUCCUUGUUACUUGAUUGAACGUG